UACGUAGGGGGCAAGCGUUGUCCGGAUUUAUUGGGCGUAAAGAGCGUGUAGGCGGCCAGGUAGGUCUGCUGUGAAAACUCGAGGCUCAACCUCGAGACGCCGAUGGAAACCAUCUGACUAGAGUCCGGAAGAGGAGAGUGGAAUUCCUGGUGUAGCGGUGAAAUGCGCAGAUAUCAGGAAGAACACCCGUGGCUAAGGCGGCUCUCUAGUACGUGACUGACGCUGAGACGCGAAAGCGUGGGGAGCGAACAGG
rnacentral:rRNA from 1 species